AACGCACAUUGCGCCCGGCAGUACUCUGCCGGGCAUGCCUGUUCGAGCGUCAUUUCAACCCUCAAGCCCUGCUUGGUGUUGGGGUCCCACGGCCGCCGUGGGCCCUGAAAGGAAGUGGCGGGCUCGCUACAACUCCGAGCGUAGUAAUUCUGUUUCUCGCUUAGGGCGUUGGGCGGCGCUCCAGCCGUUAAAGUACCCAUCUUUAACUCAAGGUUGACCUCGGAUCAGGUAGGAAUACCCGCUGAACUUAA
rnacentral:misc_RNA from 1 species